CCUACGGGCGGCAGCAGUGAGGAAUAUUGGUCAAUGGACGAGAGUCUGAACCAGCCAAGUAGCGUGAAGGAUGACUGCCCUAUGGGUUGUAAACUUCUUUUAUAUGGGAAUAAAAUGUUCCACGUUUGGGAUUUUGUAUGUACCAUAUGAAUAAGGAUCGGCUAACUCCGUUCCAGCAGCCGCGGUAAUACGGAGGAUCCGAGCGUUAUCCGGAUUUAUUGGGUUUAUAGGGAGCGUAGGUGGAUUGUUAAGUCAGUUGUGAAAGUUUGCGGCUCAACCGUAAAAUUGCAGUUGAAACUGGAAGGCUUGAGUACAGUAGAGGUGGGCGGAAUUCGUGGUGUAGCGGUGAAAUGCUUAGAUAUCACGAAGAACUCAGAUUGCGAAGGCAGCUCACUGGACUGCAACUGACACUGAGGCUCGAAAGUGUGGGUAGCAAACAGGAUUAGAUACCCUUGUAGUC
rnacentral:rRNA from 1 species